rfam:Brachypodium distachyon strain Bd21 chromosome 2, whole genome shotgun sequence.
AACGUACUCCCUCUGAUCCUAAUUAAUUGUCGAAAUAUUACAUGUAUCUAGACACAUUUUGGGCAUAGAUACAUCCAUAUUUGGGCAAAUUCGAGACAAUUAAUGUGGAUCGGAGGGAGUACAAU